rnacentral:misc_RNA from 1 species
CUACAAUUACCAGAACGACUAGGAUUGCGAUUUGUCGUUGACUCGGGAGCAGGAAUCAACUUGUUUAAACGAGGAUGCUACGCAGGAAGAACAAUAAUACCAGACACGAAGAAAUCCUCCAUGGGACAUUCCUAAUACGAAUCUAAUUCCAAAAUUAAGCUAAAUUUAUUCAACAAAAAGAUAGAAUUUUCCUUAGUAGAUGAUAAUUUCCCUAUUAUAGAAGACGACAUAUUAGGCUUACCCGGUUUAAAUCAAUAUCGAUUCGAACUUUCCAAUAAAACAUUGAAAUUAGAUAAUAACACCCUUCUGCUGCGGCAAGAACAAACCCCGCACCAGGAGAAACCAUUCAAAAAAUUGAAUACCUCGAAGGAAAGCCAACGCCAGUAUGCUUUAUCAAUGGUGACAGCGAAACAUUACCAUGUACAUCUCUUGCUAAACAUUCCAUUACGUUGAAAGAAGAUAAAAUCAUCAACGUAAAAUCCUACAGUCCUCCUGAACACCAUAAAAUCGAAAUAAACAAACAAAUGACGGAAAUGUUAGACAAAAAGAUUAUAGAACCCUCCGACUCUCCCUAUAACUCUCCCGUCUGGGUCGUUCCAAAGAAAAUCGACGCGUCGGGGAAACAAAAGUGGCGAAUAGUGAUUGACUUUAGGAAGUUAAACGAAUUAACGGACCAAGACGCAUAUCCAUUACCCGACAUUGACGAUAUACUAUCGCAACUAGGGAACGCAAAAUAUUUCUCCGC